GGGUCAGUAGGUUGGUCGUGCCACCGGUACGUACUGGUCUCACUGAUUCCUCCUUCCUGAAGAACCGUAAUGCCAUUAAUUUGGUGCUGCGGGGAAACAGGACUGUUACUUUGAAAAAUUUAGAGUGUUUAAAGCAAGCUAACGCUUGAAUACAUUAGCAUGGAAUAAUGAAAUAGGACGAUCGAUCCUAUUUUGUUGGUUUCUAGGAUUGACGUA
rnacentral:rRNA from 1 species